rnacentral:rRNA from 1 species
GACGAACGCUGGCGGCGCGCUUAACACAUGCAAGUCGAGCGAAGCGGCGGACGGGUGAGUAACACGUGAGUAACCUGCCUUAGACAUUGGGAUAGCCUCGGGAAACCGGGAUUAAUACCACAUGGUCUAAGAUGGACUCGCGUCCCAUUAGCUAGUUGGUGGGUAACGGCCCACCAAGGCGACGAUGGGUAGCCGGCGUGAUAGGGGGAACGGCCACAGUGGAACUGAGAAACAGUCCAGGCUCUACUGGAGGCAGCAGUGGGGAAUAUUGAACAAUGUAGGGAAAUCUGAUGCAGCGACGCCGCGUGAACGAAGAAGGCUUUCGAGUAGUAAAGUUCUUUUAUAUGGGAAGCGGUACCAUAAGAAAAAGCCCCGGCUAACUACGUGCCAGCCGCCGCGGUAAUAC